ensembl:lncRNA
GUUGACGUGUAGUACACUCUGAUAUGAGCGAGAUUGACGUGUAGUACACUCUGAUAUGAGCGAGGUUGACGUGUAGUACACUCUGAUAUGAGCGAGGUUGACGUGUAGUACACUCUGAUAUGAGCGAGGUUGACGUGUAGUACACUCUGAUAUAAACGAGGUUGACGUGUAGUACACUCUGAUAUAAGCGAGGUUGACGUGUAGUACACUCUGAUAUAAGCGAGGUUGACGUGUAGUACACUCUGAUAUGAACGAGGUUGACGCGUAGUACACUCUGAUAUAAUCGAGGUUGACGCGUAGUACACUCUGAUAUAAGCGAGGUUGACGCGUAGUACACUCUGAUAUAAGCGAGGUUGGCGUGUAGUACACUCUGAUAUAAGCGAGGUUGACGCGUAGUACACUCUGAUAUGAGCGAGGUUGACGCGUAGUACACUCUGAUAUAAGCGAGGUUGACGUGUAGUACACUCUGAUAUAAACGAGGUUGACGUGUAGUACACUCUGAUAUAAGCGAGGUUGACGUGUAGUACACUCUGAUAUGAGCGAGGUUGACGUGUAGUACACUCUGAUAUAAACGAGGUUGACGUGUAGUACACUUUGUAGCUGUAAUAACAACGCUGGUUGGUUGAUUAUGUCCCCAGCAGAAGAGAACUGUCACACAGAGAAGCGAAUGUUUAUUCAUUAACAUUACUCACUCUCCCAGCACGCUGCUCUACAUCUCCACUUUACACGUGCCUCUAAACUGCCACCUGAUUGGCUGGGUCAUGUCAAGCUGACCCGUCUUUCAAUCUUUAAAAGCACUCUGUUCUGCCAGGAAUAAAUAAACAAAUAAAUAAAUAAAAGGACAAAAAAAUAUUCAGACUGUCGGUGUGUUACAAAUUGCCGAUGCUAGAGACCUCUGAUAAUUUUUUUUGGUCCCAAUUAAUUGUUGUUUUUCUAAUAAUAUAAUUUCUGAGCUAUUUGUUUAGAAAUAAAUCAAUUUUCUCGAGCAGAAAGCAAUAUCAUAAAGGUUUCAGCUUUUGCCACAUGCUGCUACUCACUGUUUGGCUAAACUAGCCGACUAGCCGCUGGUCAAAAUGUCACCAAAUCCCUGGGGGAAAAAAAGAGAGAGUGGUUCAUUUGUUAGCCUCUCACCCCUCUCCAAACUAAUCACGUGCCAAAUUGAUAAAAUUAUCACACUUUUCCUUUUUGAAUUCAGCAGACGUACCAUGAAAUAUCAUUAGCGCCUCCAUCUGCGUGCGCGUCAUUACCUAUCCGAGCGUAGGAGGUUCGCGCUACGCUCGCUAUCGUCAAAAUCAUUGUUUUACCAGACGAAGCUAUGACAAGUCACCGGUAAAUUUAAUCUAAUGAUAUGCAAAUUUGGGAAAAAAAGACAAUUAGGGCUGCUCAGACUGAUGUUGGCAUGCGUGUCAGAGCGCAGCUCCACCGUCCCCCGAUCUGCGGAUGCGUAUGAAUCAGAUUAGCGGAAUAAUGAGAGCGAGAGAGAGCUUUAGCCUCG